UGGCGAACGGGUGAGUAUCACGUGAGUAACCUGCCCUUGACUCUGGGAUAAGCCCGGGAAACUGGGUCUAAUACUGGAUAGGACUGGCCAUCGCAUGGUGGUUGGUUGAAAGCUUUUGCGGUUUUGGAUGGACUCGCGGCCUAUCAGCUUGUUGGUGGGGUAAUGGCCUACCAAGGCUUUGACGGGUAGCCGGCCUGAGAGGGUGACCGGCCACACUGGGACUGAGACACGGCCCAGACUCCUACGGGAGGCAGCAGUGGGGGAUAUUGCACAAUGGGCGCAAGCCUGAUGCAGCGACGCCGCGUGAGGGAUGACGGCCUUCGGGUUGUAAACCUCUUUCAGUUGGGAAGAAGCCUUUCGGGGUGACGGUACCUUCAGAAGAAGCACCGGCUAACUACGUGCCAGCAGCCGCGGUAAUACGUAGGGUGCGAGCGUUAUCCGGAAUUAUUGGGCGUA
rnacentral:rRNA from 1 species